CUAUACGGUGAACUGCGAAUGGCUCAUUAAAUCAGUUAUCGUUUAUUUGAUAGUACCUUACUACAUGGAUAACCGUGGUAAUUCUAGAGCUAAUACAUGCUAAAAACCUCGACUUCGGAAGGGGUGUAUUUAUUAGAUAAAAAACCAAUGCCCUUCGGGGCUCCUUGGUGAAUCAUAAUAACUUAACGAAUCGCAUGGCCUUGCGCCGGCGAUGGUUCAUUCAAAUUUCUGCCCUAUCAACUUUCGAUGGUAGGAUAGUGGCCUACCAUGGUAUCAACGGGUAACGGGGAAUUAGGGUUCGACUCCGGAGAGGGAGCCUGAGAAACGGCUACCACAUCCAAGGAAGGCAGCAGGCGCGCAAAUUACCCAAUCCCGACACGGGGAGGUAGUGACAAUAAAUACUGAUACAGGGCUCUUUUGGGUCUUGUAAUUGGAAUGAGUACAAUUUAAAUCCCUUAACGAGGAACAAUUGGAGGGCAAGUCUGGUGCCAGCAGCCGCGGUAAUUCCAGCUCCAAUAGCGUAUAUUAAAGUUGUUGCAGUUAAAAAGCUCGUAGUUGAACCUUGGGCCUGGCUGGCCGGUCCGCCUCACCGCGUGUACUGGUCCGGCCGGGCCUUUCCUUCUGGGGAACCUCAUGCCCUUCACUGGGCGUGUUGGGGAACCAGGACUUUUACUUUGAAAAAAUUAGAGUGUUCAAAGCAGGCCUUUGCUCGAAUACAUUAGCAUGGAAUAAUAGAAUAGGACGUGUGGUUCUAUUUUGUUGGUUUCUAGGACCGCCGUAAUGAUUAAUAGGGAUAGUCGGGGGCAUCAGUAUUCAAUCGUCAGAGGUGAAAUUCUUGGAUUGAUUGAAGACUAACUACUGCGAAAGCAUUUGCCAAGGAUGUUUUCAUUAAUCAGUGAACGAAAGUUAGGGGAUCGAAGACGAUCAGAUACCGUCGUAGUCUUAACCAUAAACUAUGCCGACUAGGGAUCGGACGGUGUUAGUAUUUUGACCCGUUCGGCACCUUACGAGAAAUC
rnacentral:rRNA from 1 species